UGCAGUCAUGAGGUGUAGGACCAGGCGAGAGUGUUUGAAUUCACAAAAAAUAUCCUUGAGAUGAUAAAUCUUCUCUUUCAGCAAAAAUUGUCUCCUCACUAAUCCACACGCCAGGUAAGUGGAAAGGACUGCUAUAGUAUUGAUUAUUUUAGAAUAAAAUUGAAAAUUGUCCAUGACAUAAACCCAGCUAUAAACAAGACUGUAAGGUAAAUCCAGCUAUAAACAGGCAAGUGAAGCUUAUACUCUUUUACAACUGGCAUUGCUACCUUUAAUUUUUAAUUUAAACAUAGAUUUGUAUGGCUCCCAUCCUUUUGGAUGGAUCAUGGACUUCUUUUGUUGAACAAUAAUAGUAAGCAGGUUUUUGCAAGAGUUUUUUACAGGUAUGUCUUGAUUAGAUGUGGAUCAGUAGUUAAUGUGUAUUUUUAUUGGGUUUCAAAAUACAAUAGUAAUAUAAAGUUGACUGAGCUUUAUUUGUUAUGUAUCAUAUUAAAUAGUGAAUUUUGUUUACCAUAGUAAUAUAAAGUUGACUGAGCUUUAUUGGUUAUGUAUCAUAUUAAAUAGUGAAUUUUGUUUACCAUUGGAAUAGAGUAAUUUUGAUUUUGGGUUAAAUAUUAUUUCAAAUGGAAUACAAGGAUACAAAUUUCUUUGGCUUUAGAUCUACAGAUUUGUGUAAAUUAGAGAAUGAAAUCCUAAUUUCUAACAUGGAAGCUAUGACGCCUGCUGCCCCUGUGAUGUGUAUAUGUUCUUGGGAACAUGCUUCUGUUUCCAUUAUUCUCUAUUGCAUAAGAGAUAGAACAGAGAACUAGGUAUUGGACAAGCUAAGAAUAAAGUUGAGAAUUGUCCAUGAUACUUUGGUCAAAUCGGUGAGGGUUAUAAGGUAAACCCAGCUAUAAACAGAAUUCUUUCAAAUGAAGCUUAUACUCUUUAUAUAACUGAUAUUGUUGCCUUUAAUUAAACAUAAAUUUGUAUGGCUCAUCCUUUUUGGAUGGAUACAAGAAAGGAAGGUUUGGAUCAUGGAGUUCUAUUGUUUGAACAAUAAUGCGGUGGAUCACAAUUCGUUGGCCUCAGGAUGUGUAGCUGCAAUGCCUUAUUGGUCCAUGCAUGCCUGUUCAGCAAUUUUUUGGUGUAGCAUUGUAUUUUUAUUUAGUUCAGAUAUAUUACAAAAAUAUCAUACCCUGCAAAUCAUCUACAAUGACAUACCCUGCUCAGGAAUUUUUUGGUCUAGCAUUGUAUUUUUAUUGGGUUUAAAAUAUAUUACAGAAAUGCCCUUUUGUGAUCUUUUAUUUUUUUUAUAACUGAGCAUUCAUACUCCUUAGCUUUUUUAACUUUCUGAUUUCUUUUUUUUUUUUUGGCAUAAAGAGGCACAAUAGGUGAAGAAGCAAUGAAGAGGAAGAGGCAAGAAAUGGAAAUAGCAAUUGAAUGAGGGAAUAUUUUUCUGUUAAUUCUUUGUAAAGGUUAUCUUUAUUUUAAGAAUUAAUUGAUUUUUGUGUCUUGCUAAAAUGAAUAGGAAUCACCGAGAAGGAAGCAACAAUCAAAUGGAAGCAAAAUUCUUCAUAUAAAUUAUCUUUAUUAUGAGAACUCAUAAAUUGUUUGUCUUGCUAGGAUAAAGUGGAAUCAUAGAUUGUUUAUCUUGUUUGACUUACAUAUGAGUUUUUUAAUUGUUUUUUCCUUCCCUGUUAAUACUUUAUUCUGUUUUCUUGUUCUUUCUUUAAUUGUAAUUUUUUUCUCAGUGCAUUGUUUGUUUGAUUUUUUUGAAGAGUUUGUUUUGAUUUUAUUUGUUUGAGGUUGUAUACAGUGUGCACACUGGUCUGUCUCUGUUAUUUGUUCUAGUCUUUUUUUUGGUUUUACAUUUUUAUCUGUGUUAUUUGUUCUAGUCCUUUUUUUGGUUUUACAUUUUUGUGAUAGCAGAUAAAAAAGCAAAGAAGGUGAAGAGGCAGAGUAGAGGAAGAGGCAAACAAAAGGCAAUGACAACUGAAUAAGGAUAAAAUUCUUUUUCCAUGUAAAUCUUUAUAUUGUUUAUCUUUAUUAUAAAAAAUUAAUGGGUUGUUUGCCUUGCUAAAAUGAAUAGGAAUCAUGGAUAAAGAAGCAACAAUCAAAUGGAGGCAGAAUUCUUCUUUUAAAUAAUUCUUCAUAUAAAUUAUCUUUAUUAUAAGAACUAAUGAAUUGUGUGCCUUGCUAGGAUACAGAAGAAUCAUAGAUUGUUCACAUAUGAAUGGCUAAUUGAACACUUAAGAUUUGACCACUUGAGAGGCCAUUUUCUAUUAAUCUUUCAAUUUUUACAGUUUUAUUUUUAAUAGAUUGAUUAAUGGUGGUGGUUUUCUUUUUUCUGUUAUUGCAGCAAAAUGCUGGAAGGUAAUUAAUGGUGGUGGUUUUCUUUUUUCUGCUUGUGUUUGUUUUUAUUUUUAGUAGAUUGAUUAAUGUUUUUGGUUGAGAUUCUAAUGUAGUCAUGAAAUGCAGAGAAAUAAAGAUGAGUUCGUUAUGAUUACAAGUACUUGUUCUAGGAGGCUAGAUUUCCAAAACAGCCAACCCCGUGUUUGAAUUCUCUGAUGCCUAAGCUCUAUAAACUCUUGUAGAUCUAAUAAAUGUCUACUGACCAACUUAUACAUCCAAAAAUGAAGAAUUAAAGUAGACUUACAUGUGUAUUUUUGUUUUUUCAGUAGACUUACAUGUGUGUAUUUUUGUUUUUUCAGGACUUCUCUUUUAGUUAAAAAUAUGAACCCAGCUAUAAGCAACUUACAUUGUUGCCUUCAACUUAAAUCCUUUUCUCAUGGAUUUAAGAAGGGAAGGGUUCGUUGGACUUAUCUCAGCAGUUCACUGACCUCAUCCUUUUCUUUGUAGAUGCAGACCAGUGAAGAGGGAGAGAAGAGGAACAGGCAAGAAAAGGAAAUGGCAAUUAAAUGAGGGUAAAUCAAUCAAAUGAAGGUAAAAAUUUUCUUCAAAAUAAUUCUUCAUAUAAAUUAUCUUUAUUAUAAAAACUAAUGAAUUAUUUUUUAUUAAAACUAAUGAAUUGUUUGUCUUGCUAGGAUGAAGAGGAAUCAUAGACAUAACAUUUUUUAAUUGGUUUUCCCUUUCCUGCUGAUGGUUUAUUCUAUUUUCUUGUUCUUUCUUUCAUUGUAAUUUUUUUCUCAGUGCUUUGUUUCUUCAAUUUUUUUAAGAGUUUGUUUUGUUUUGAUUUUUUUUGAAUUUUUCUUUUUCUUGUAAAGGUUGUAUACAGUGUGCACACUGGUCUGUCCAUGUUAUUCAUUUACUUUUUAUUUGUCUCUUUUUUUUCAUAUUAUAUUUUUGUGAUAGCAAAUAAAAAGACAGAGUUGGUGAAGAGGAAGUAGAGGAAGAGAUAGAGAAAAGGAAAUGACAAUUGAAUGAGGGCAAAAUUCUUUUUUCAGACUUCUUAUUUUUUACAGGUUCAUUGACCGUAGGAUGUCUGUCCAGCUACAAUUCUAGAUGUCCAGCUAUAAUUAUUUCAGACUCAAAAGGUGGAGGGUUGCACACAACCCUAGCAAACAUUUCCAGCAUGGUGAGAGUUACAUUUCCUCUUUGUAUUUAGAGCAGCAAGAGAUUGAGAUAGGCAUUGAUCAUUUCUUUAGUAAAAUUUUGGCCAAGCAUAGUGGUCAAGCAUUGUAAUAUGUAAAAAUAUAAUGUUUAAUAAAAGCGUUUUAUCAGAAGGGGUUAACAACCCUUUCUAAAGACUGAGGGGAAUAGCUAGUGGCCAUGGUUAUUCCUUAAG